CUUCAUGGUGCGAGAUUGAAAUGUACAGAGAAGUAUAAAUGGCAGAAGAAGAAUGUGCUCUUGAUUGUGAUUCUCUCUUUGGCGAUGGAGUCUAGUUCUCAGUCAAGAGACAUCAGUGCAUCAGGUUCAUAUUGAGGAGUUGGUGACAGAGAAUGGUGGGUUUGUAUGGAUGUUUUUUGUGGAGAUUCAGUCGACUGCAUGCAGAUGGACAGAGGUGAUGAAGUUCAGUUGGUGGACCGAGUAAUUGUUGUUGAGGCUGAAAUCAGUAAGGAAUCUGAAUUACAUGGCCUGUGUUCGGACUGGGCAUUGGUUUGCGUUGUGAUUUACAACAGACUAAUGAUGACCAGUAUGGAAGAAGAAUGGCCAGGUCUUCAUAAAGGGGGUGUGGAGAAUUCAUGUAGAGUUGCCAGAUGCAUAUUCAUACAAAUCUUUAUUGGAUUCUUGAACAAAAAAUUCACUCCAACGUUGAUGAUUUGAUGAUUUAAGAAUGAUGACGCUUGCAAACUUCUAGAAACUUGGAAUCAAGAGAUGGUGUUCAAAAAUUGAAAGAGGGAGAGUUCAGAGUUCGGUAAUAAGCCAGCUGAAAGUACACAACCUCUGGAACACCGCCUAAACAGGACGGUAUCCAUAUGUGAGCCAGAAGGGGGGUGUAGCUAAGAUUUCUCCGCGUUCACUUAAAUAAGACUCUUCCCACGAGUGUUGGAUGACUUCAAGUGUUGAUGUGGGUGAUAGUGCCUCUAAAUCAAAUUCCCAGGUCUUGUUUCAGAAAGUGAAGGUUCAAUGUCGGCGUCGUUUGAGCGAGAAGGAACAACAACAUGAAAAAAUCGUAAAGGAUUAUUAAAAUUCACAGUGAAGGGUCUGUGCAAGCAAUAAAACAACAGGCGGGUGAGCAUAUCAAGCUAGGUAUUUGGUUUUGCUAUGAUCAAAUAGUUAUGUAUUUUUGCAAUCUAUAAAACCAAUAAAAAUUAAUACUGCAAAAUCAUCUUCCAAAUAGAUAUCCGUAGUACCCUAAGUGUCUACUGUAUACGAAUUAUGAGAAUAUCUCUUCAUCCGGGUAACUCAUAGAUAAGGUUUGAAUUUUUUACAUACUUUAUUGCAGUUGGUGGAUUGGGUUUUGCUGAUACUUGUUAUUAUUGUGUUGUUUGAGUACCGACGUACUUAUCUUUUUGGUCUUAUUAGAAAUGCAAGGACGUAGAAAAGACGCAAAACUAUUACAAGUUUCAGCAUAACACGAAAAUGAUGAAGCUUUCAAUGCUUUACUUUCAGGCUUGAUCAAUGAAGAUGAAAGAAUUACAACUAUUAGCUGAAGUGUGUUACUAUUUGUAAGUCUAAUUGAUUUCACUGCUCUUAGAAGAAUUUGUUAUUAGAAAUAUAAAUACUAACCCAACUUCGGUUAAAAAUCUGAAAGAGCUUAGCACAAGUACCGCUAUCCUCUGCGUUGAUGUUUAAUGACAAUGUUUCCUCCAUAGAUAUUGAGGUGAAUUUAAUACUUCCAUAUUUCCAUUUGUUAUUUCAACCCAAGACCCGUCAGUUAAAAAUCAGUGAGCAUGGAAGUUUUGUCUAAAAUCAGUACGCAAAG